GAACAGUGGAAAAAUAUGGCAGCUACGUGGAUGUAAACAGUCAAGACAAAAUGUAUUCAUAGAGUAAAUAAUUAUAACACAGUCUCUUGUCAUGAUGACUAAUCCUGCUGCUAUCGUUGAACUGAGAGGCUGUGUGGACUGAAGAGAAGAUGUAGUUGAAUAUCCUGGUUGAGCAGUACGUCUCAGAUCUGCAGCCAGGUUAUGGUGUAGCUGUCCGUGACGAUGAGAGUCGUACAUAGGUUCGCCUGUCUGUCACGAGAUGUAGGCAGGUGGUUUGCAUCUUCGGCUCAAAGAUACAAGAUUCUGCACCUCACACCAGCCACACACAGAGCACGCAAAAUAGGCAUUGUCCUUGUUCUUACAUGUACUUG